AAGUCGUAACAAGGUCUCCGUUGGUGAACCAGCGGAGGGAUCAUUACUGAGUACUACACUCUCUACCCUUUGUGAACUAUUAUACCUGUUGCUUCGGCGGCGCCCGCGAGGGUGCCCGCCGGUCUCAUCAGAAUCUCUGUUUUCGAACCCGACGAUACUUCUGAGUGUUCUUAGCGAACUGUCAAAACUUUUAACAACGGAUCUCUUGGCUCCAGCAUCGAUGAAGAACGCAGCGAAACGCGAUAUGUAAUGUGAAUUGCAGAAUUCAGUGAAUCAUCGAAUCUUUGAACGCACAUGGCGCCUUCCAGUAUCCUGGGAGGCAUGCCUGUCCGAGCGUCGUUUCAACCCUCGAGCCCCUGUGGCCCGGCGUUGGGGAUCUGCCACGGCAGGCCCCUAAAACCAGUGGCGGACCCGAAGGGCCCUCUCCUUUGCGCAGUAGCAUUCGCCUCGCAUCGGGAGUCCUCGGCGUCCUGCCUCUAAACCCCCCACAAGCCCGCUUCGGCGGCACCAAGGUUGACCUCGGAUCAGGUAGGAAUACCCGCUGAACUUAA
rnacentral:rRNA from 1 species